rnacentral:rRNA from 1 species
CUGGAGAAANNUGUUAGUCGAGGGUGCUUCUUCUUCGUAGAUGUAACCCGGCGGACGGCUCAGUAACACGUGGAUAACUUGCCCUUGGGUCCGGGAUAACCCCUGAGAAAUUGGGGACAAUACCGGAUAGGGCAUCGAUUGCUGGAAUGCGCGAUGUCCAAAAGCUGAGGCGCCCAAGGAUAGGUCUGCGGCCGAUUAGGUUGUCGUUGAUGUAAUGGAUCAACAAGCCUGCAAUCGGUACGGGUUGUGAGAGCAAGGAGCCCGGAGAUGGGUUCUGAGAAAAGAACCCAGGUCCUGCGGGACGCAUCAGGCGCGAGAACUUUACAAUGUGCGAAAGCACGAUAAGGGAGCUGUGAGUGCCUCCUAUGGAGGCUGGUCAGGUGUCUAGAAAGGCCAGUGAAAGUAAGGGAGCUGGGUAGAACCGGAGCCAGCCGGCGAGGUAACACCGGNNGCCCAAGGGGUAGCGACGGCUGAUUGGAGCUGAAGGCAUNACUGAGGGCCGGCCANGUAAGUCGUUUGAGGAAUGAAACCGCUGCANCGGAGAG